UACGUAGGAGGCGAGCGUUGUCCGGAGUUACUGGGCGUAAAGGGUGCGCAGGUGGCCGUGCGCGUGGGGAGUGAAAUCGCCUGGCUUAACUGGGCGGGGGCUUUCCAGACGGCGCGGCUUGAGCCACAGAGGGGGGCGUGGAAUUCCGGGUGGAGCGGUGAAAUGCGUAGAUAUCAUUUGGAACGCCAAUGGUGAAAACAGGUAACUGGGGCUGUGCUGACGCUGAGACACGAAAGCCAGGGGAGCGAACGGG
rnacentral:rRNA from 1 species